AAGUUUUUAAAAUAUAACCGUUAGAAAACGUGUCUUCAGUAAACGCCUCCGUUAAUCAAAUAUAGACGCGUUAAGAAUAAUCGUGUGCGUUGUCAAUUUAUUUCCACAUUGUUCACAGUUCCUCUUUCUGGGAAGGAUUCUCUCAGAUCGAUUCUUCCAAAAUUUGCAAAACUGGAACAGAAUCCGAUUGCCAUCUUAGAUUAGUUGAUUCCGCCUAAAACCCGAUGUGAUUGUUUGGGCUCCUCUCACUCGUCAUCGUUGAGAUGAUAUAUUAUCGCUUGGAGGAGGAAACCCACCGGCCUUUUAGUUGCUGAUUUACAUACCUGGAAGCUUACUCCGCGUGAAACCAUCGUCACCAAGGUAUCUGCUUCAGAAGGUGUUCAAAACCAAAUAGUUCAAGAUUUUGAGGAGAUUUCAAGUGUAGCAGACUUUUGUGGCAGGUAUGUGCUUUUCAAACUUGCUUGUAAUUAGUUUCUGAAAUUCAAACAUAUGUGAAAUCAAGAUUAAUUUCAUUUCCACUAGACACGUGCUUGAAUAAGCAUCCAAAUCUUAACAUAUUUAUGUGUUAGCCUUUAUACUUAUGUGAGAGCGUGAAGUAUAUAUGCCAAUAUGGAUUUUCUCAGGUAUGUGCUUCUCUUAUGGAUGCCCAAAAAAGAUUUUUCUAAUGUUUACAAUUCUUUGGUGAAGUAUGGAUUUAUCACCCUCUUUAUAUUGUAUAACUUUGGAUUUGAAUCAAUGUUUCAGAGUAACAUCUCUGUUUCAUGAAGAAAACACUGUCACUUGAAAUUCUGCAGGUCUAUUUUCUUCUGCAUCAACCGAUUUCAAAUCCUAAUGUGGUGUAUCUCAAACCUCCAUACAUGGGUUCUGCACAAUCACUUAAAAAUACAAAACAUACAUACAUAGGUACAAACAUGCAUUCAUAUAUACGUACUUUCAUACUGUAUACAUGCAUAAUUGCUUACAUACAUCAUUGUUUAUUUGCUUUCUUGAUUUUUUGUUUGAUUCUUCUGGUAAGUUACCCUUUCAUUCAUACUUCUUCCCUUGCUUGCUUUCUUGAUGUUCUGCUUCUUUAUUGACUUCCCUGAUUCAUUGUUUCACUUCUUUACUUCCUUGCUUCCUUAUGUUUUGUUUUUGUUCCUAUUUGGAUGUGUUUUUGCGUACCUGGUUGUUUAUAUAUAUUAUUUUGCGAUUCCUUACACACUUCUUCAUUUUUUUCAUCUUUGAUCUCGUGUCUGUCGUUCUGUGGAAACUUAUUGCUGAUAUCCAUUGAUAAACAGUUGAUUUAAUUUUUUAUACUGGUACAUUUAUAUUUUGUGCUUAUGUUGACAGCAAUAAAUAUUGUUUGGAAAGUAGUUAUUAUCUUUAUUCUAUGUUUGUACAUCAUAACAUCUCUCAUUUUAUAAAUAGAUAUAUCUUGGAGUUUAUAUAAAUAUUUAUCUCGUUUGACUAACAAUACCUAUUAUCUAUGUUUUGGUGCUUGUGUUCAUUUAUGAAAUGGAUGUAUCUUGGAGUCUCUUAUAGAUAUCUACUUUGGGUGCAAGUAUGACUCAUGUAUAUUUUGGUAGAAUUUUCCUUGAGUCUGGUAUGUACUUGUUUUGCGUCAUGCUCGAAAUCCUUGGUGAUUAUUCCAAAAUUUUACAAUGACAUGAUCCUCACAAUCUAAUUGGUUGUUAUUUGAGUAAUGUUAGAAUUAUGCAUCAUGAUUCUUACAUUUAUGAUUAUUGUGUAAUUUUUUCUCUUUAAAAUGUGUAUCAGUUGACUUGACUUUUAUAAUAUAAUGCUUGGAAAUAUUUUCAGUUAUGGUAUUAGACUAGUAUCUCUCACUUUGUCUUAACAUAUAUAGUUAAUUGGAACUUGGUUUCUUUGUCAAAACAGAGUUCAUUGUCUCUACGUUUUUUUCUACUUGAAUCUUUUUUAAGUAAUGUUUACUGCUGUUUGUUGUUUGCCAAAAUGGACAAUUUAAUUUCAGCGUGAGUUUUUGUUGAUAAACAAUGAUUUUUUUUUUUUUUUUGGCUUUGUGUUAAGAUACAAGUUUUUUCAUGUAAACACAUUUGUUGCUUAUACGAUCAUCUUGGUCAUUCUCUGUUAAGAUUAUUUUUGAUCAUGAUAUCCUCAGUGUGGUAGGAUUGAUAACCAUUUUUCAUCUUAAACUCUUGGAAUAGUUGGUGUGGUAAAAAAAUAUAAAAAAUUAUUGAGAAUAUUAUUCACUAGCGCGGAUUUUUGAUCUAAAUUUUAAAUUUUUUUUUAAAAGAUACUGAAAAUAUAAAUAAUUGCAUUUUCUAGAUUUUUUGGUAAUGGUAAGAUAAUUUUACAUUCUUAACAAAAUAAAAGCAGUUAUUAUUAGUGAUACUUUUAACUCAUGCCAAUUAAAUAUUGUAUCUCUUAUCAAAAGUGACUAAUACAAUUGUUUUGUUUUUUUAAUCAUUUAAGUGUUUUUCUCAAAGAAUUUUUUUUUUGGACGUUUUGGAGUUGUAAUGUAAAUAUGUAAUGAAUAUUUAACUUGUUAAGUGCAAUAUAUGUAUUGUUUAGUACUUGACUGAAAAGUCUAUAUGUUAGGUAUAUUGAAACGGUAUAAGAUUUAUGUAUAUUUUAUAAACCUUAUUUCAUGUAAGUUUUUUCAUAUUUUGCAUUUAUGAUCUUUAAUGUUUUUAUUCGGAUUAAUGUUUUGCUAAUUAUUUUGUAUUUAUAUGUUUCUUUUAUUUACAUUUUGAAAGUAAAUAUCGUUUUUAUGUUGGUUUUAACUCAAGUAUUUUGAACCAAAAUUUUUGUUGAUGAUUUAUAAAUUUUAAUAUAUGAUAUUUGACAUUUUAGUAAUGUAUAUAUUUAAAAAAAGAGUUUAUAAGUAAUUUAACUAAAUUGAAAAUUCUAUAGAUUUUACUGUUUAGUGGUUAGGGCAUCUUCAACCCUAUUUCAUUUUCUACUCAAAACAUCAUUUUGAAGUAAAAUGUACUUCAACCUAACUCCAUUUUCAACUCCAAAUGGAGUAAUGGCUAGGGUUACUCCAUUUAUGGAGUAAUCUUACUCAUUAGUCCAUUUAAGAGUUAAAACUUUUUAUUUAUUUAUAGAAUAAUCUUUUAAAUCUUAAAUAUUUUUAUUUCAUAAUUUUUUCCUCACUUUUAUUUGCUUAGAAUAUGUUUUUGAAAAGUAGUAAAACAUAUACAUUUCUUCUAUUUUUAUAAAUAAUAUUAUCAAAGAAUGUGAUAAAUUUGCAUAUUAUAAUAUCUGAAGUAUACUAUUCAGUUUUUAAUUUGAAUAUUUUUUAGUUUUUUUUUCAUCGCUGAACAAUCAUAACAAUGAGUUUGGUUUGAUCCUAAACCGAAUCAAAACCCAGCAGAAAAACCUUGAAAGAAGAAAGACAUAGACUUGAAAGCAGAAAAACACAACUAAUAUUUGUUUCGUUAGAUAUGAGUUUGAUAAUUGUUUACUUCAUAUAGGAAUGAGAAUUAAUGAUGGUUUUCUUUCUUUUUUGUUAAAAAGAACUAUUGUAGUAUAGAGUAGUUAUUUAAUAAGCUAUUUGAUUUUUUUUUUGUAAAUAUAUGUAGGAGAUAUGUGUGAGGUUCUUUAUAAGGUGCAAAGUUUCUUAGAUUCUUAAGGUUGUGGCUCCGUCUGAUGUUUUAUUGUAUGGCUUAGAUGUUUUGCUCAAUUGAUUCCCGUGUGUGGGCUUGUGUCUCCCUCUUGUAGGAUUAGUCUCUCAUAUAACUUUCGAGCUUCUGUUCUGGCUUUGUAUUUCAUCUUGAUCAAUAUAAUCCUUCAAUAAAAAAUAUAUAUAAAAAUAUAUAUGUAUAAGAUAUAUGUGUGAUGUCCCAUCAUGACUUGUUAUAACUGAAUAUAACUGAACAUUAUAUUGGCCACAUUAAGUGUAACAACACCAUCUCUAUCUGCUUAUCAAAGAGUAAGGGACACUUUGUUGGAUGUUCUGCUAUUUAAGCAGAUGCUUGUAAAAGGUUCUUUAAGCGCAAGAAUCUACAUUUCUUCCCUCAAAAAGGUAAAAGAUUUGGUAUAUCAAGUUGCACAAUUGUGAAGAAGCUAAUGAGUUUGAAAAUAGUAUGAACGACCAAGAAAAUGAAAAUGUGUUAAAAAGGAACUCACAUAUGUGUCAAUAUCGUUGUAGCGUAAACCAAGUUAAUUGUUCUCUCGUUUUCCUUUCAUUCAAUCGUGACAAAAAAAAACAGAAUAAUAUAAAAAGGGAUAAAUCACAAUAGCAAACAUAAUAGGCUUUUAUUUUAUUUUUUAAUUUUUUGUAAAAAACAUAAUAGUCUUUUAUUACAAAUUUAAAACCCAACAUAUGAAGUAUGAAAACACAACACAUGCUUGCAAAGAAGAGUACCUGAACAUGCUUGCAAAGGAGAGUACCUGAACUUCACAACUAAUUAUUCAUUAGUAAGAUAAAUGUGCAAAAACAUAGAGCUAAAAAUAUUGAUUAAGUUGUAUAUUUUUUUGUUGGGAUGUAGACAAUAACAGUGGAGCAAGACACCUAAAGCAACUGAAGAUGGUAAUCCCAUCGCUUGAUCAAAUAUGGAGACCAUUUCUUCAGUUGAUCCUAAUGUCAUUUUUGUUGCUGCUGGAGCUCCUCCUUCAUGUUCGGUCUGUAAUAUCUUUCAACUUUCGUGAUAACCAAGGUAAAACCUGAAACUUUUAGGUCAAACUAAGCAGAUCACUAAACUAUAAAUCUGUGUUUGUGGUUUAUGUUUUAAGGUGAUCUCACACCGGCUCAAACACUUGACCUUCUCUAUUGUUUUUUAUUUUUUAUUUUUUUGUCAACCUUGACCUCUUCUCUGUUCGAAUUACUAUUUAAUUGUGUAUAUAAUAUCAGAGAAAGUAAAGGAAAAAGCUAAUAAAACAUUAUAAUC